UUGCUUCAGCAGCUCAUACACUAAAAUUGGAACAAUACAGCAAAAUUAAUAUUAUCCCUGUACAAGGAUGACACACAAAUAAAGCAGGUAUAUUAUAGACAG